CUCCGGUGCUGAAUGGGCCUAGAUUUGCUCCUGGAUUUCAGCCAGACUGAAACACAGCCGGGCAGCUGGAAUCCAGGCCAAAUGCUGCAAAUCCGGGUUAAUACUGGAUUUUAUCCAAUAUAUCCAGACCCCAAAAUAUCCAAACUGUUUGCUUACUGGCAGCGUAAGGGUUAAUUAUGUGCUUCUCGCGAGACUUGCUAUCAGAG